rnacentral:rRNA from 1 species
GAUGAACGCUGGCGGCGUGCCUAAUACAUGCAAGUCGAGCGAAUGGAUUAAGAGCUUGCUCUUAUGAAGUUAGCGGCGGACGGGUGAGUAACACGUGGGUAAGCUGCCCAUAAGACUGGGAUAACUCCGGGAAACCGGGGCUAAUACCGGAUAACAUUUUGAACCGCAUGGUUCGAAAUUGAAAGGCGGCGUCGGCGGUCACUUAUGGAUGGACCCGCGGCGCAUUAGCUAGUUGGUGAGGGAACGGCUCACCAAGGCAACGAUGCGUAGCCGACCUGAGAGGGUGAUCGGCCACACUGGGACUGAGACACGGCCCAGACUCCUACGGGAGGCAGCAGUAGGGAAUCUUCCGCAAUGGACGAAAGUCUGACGGAGCAACGCCGCGUGAGUGAUGAAGGCUUUCGGGUCGUAAAACUCUGUUGUUAGGGAAGAACAAGUGCUAGUUGAAUAAGCUGGCACCUUGACGGUACCUAACCAGAAAGCCACGGCUAACUACGUGCCAGCCGCCGCCGUAA